CGUCACUGCGAGCGCGAGAAGUCGAACUGAGGAGCAGAAAGCGUUGUUAGUGUUAGUUCUGGCCCGUUUGGACCCAAACUAAAGUGUAUCAGUAUGAAGCAGGCGGUGACGGUGCAGUGGUUCACUCUCGGAGCUCGGUUCACUAAUAACCGAAUCACCGAGGAACCGACCAAAGAUAACUCACACCCACACGGAGAAGAAGAACAAGAGGAGGAGAAGAUGAGCUGGAGUGGGGCAAAGAGAACUGCAUUCAGAUCAAACGGAUACAAGAGAGGUGGCCGAGUUGUUUGAGGAUCUGAAGAAUCGAGUGUCACAAUUCAGCAUGCACAUCAGCGAAACUUUUCCCUCUGACUACACCAGCACGCACGCACAGAAAUUCAUAGUGCAGGUAACACACACACACACACACACACACACACACACACACACACACACACACACACACACACACACACACACACGAGUAGAGCAGGUGUAGUUUAACAGCAUAUGUGUAUAAAGAGGCUUUUUUCUUCAGGUCAAAAUAUAUACAG